rnacentral:rRNA from 1 species
UGGUGUGUAGGUAAAUCCGCACACUCCAAGGCCAGGCUGUGAUGGGGAGCGAAAAUUAUAGUAGCGAAGGUCAUGAUCUCACACUGCCAAGAAAAGCCUCUAGCCAGGAAGCAGGUGCCCGUACCGCAAACCGACACAGGUGGGCGAGAAGAGAAUUCUAAGGCGCGCGGAAGAACUCUCGUUAAGGAACUCGGCAAAAUGACCCCGUAACUUCGGGAGAAGGGGUGCCCCGGUAGUGUGAAUAGCACGAGGGGGCCGCAGUGAAAAGGCCCAAGCGACUGUUUAGCAAAAACACAGGUCUGUGCGAAGCCGCAAGGCGAAGUAUACGGGCUGACGCCUGCCCGGUGCUGGAAGGUUAAGGGGAGUGGUUAGCGCAAGCGAAGCUAUGAACCGAAGCCCCAGUAAACGGCGGCCGUAACUAUAACGGUCCUAAGGUAGCGAAAUUCCUUGUCAGGUAAAUUCUGACCCGCACGAAUGGCGUAACGAUUUGGGCGCUGUCUCAACGAGAGAUCCGGUGAAAUUUUAAUACCUGUGAAGAUGCAGGUUACCCGCGACAAGACGGAAAGACCCCAUGGAGCUUUACUGCAGCUUGAUAUUGAACUGGGGUGCGAUUUGUACAGGAUAGGUGGGAGCCUUUGAAGAGGGAGCGCAAGCUUCCUUGGAGGCGCCGUUGGGAUACCACCCUGAUCGCAUCUGAGUUCUAACCUGGUACCGUGAUCCGGUACAGGGACCGUGUCAGGUGGGCAGUUUGACUGGGGCGGUCGCCUCCUAAAAUGUAACGGAGGCGCCCUAAGGUUCCCUCAGAAUGGUUGGAAAUCAUUCGAAGAGUGUAAAGGCAUAAGGGAGCUUGACUGCGAGACCUACAAGUCGAGCAGGGACGAAAGUCGGGCUUAGUGAUCCGGUGGUACCGCAUGGAAGGGCCAUCGCUCAACGGAUAAAAGCUACCCUGGGGAUAACAGGCUUAUCUCCCCCAAGAGUCCACAUCGACGGGGAGGUUUGGCACCUCGAUGUCGGCUCAUCGCAUCCUGGGGCUGAAGUAGGUCCCAAGGGUUGGGCUGUUCGCCCAUUAAAGCGGUACGCGAGCUGGGUUCAGAACGUCGUGAGACAGUUCGGUCCCUAUCUGUCGUGGGCGCAGGAAAUUUGAGAGGAGCUGUCCUUAGUACGAGAGGACCGGGAUGGACGCACCGCUGGUGUACCAGUUGUUCCGCCAGGAGCAUCGCUGGGUAGCUACGUGCGGACGGGAUAAGCGCUGAAAGCAUCUAAGCGUGAAGCCCCCCUCAAGAUGAGAUUUCCCAACUAGUAAGACCCCUUGAAGACGACGAGGUAGAUAGGUUGGGGGUGGAAGUGCAGCAAUGCAUGGAGCUGACCAAUACUAAUCGGUCGAGGGCUUAUCCA